AACUUUGCGCAGUGGCAGUAUCGUAGCCAAUGAGGUUUAUCCGAGGCGCGAUUAUUGCUAAUUGAAAACUUUUCCCAAUACAACUUACUGGAAAUAUGUACAAAACUCCUCACACACAUACACACAAACACACGCGCGCACACACACACACACACUGGAGU
rnacentral:snRNA from 1 species